rnacentral:rRNA from 1 species
UACGAAGGGGGCUAGCGUUGCUCGGAAUCACUGGGCGUAAAGGGUGCGUAGGCGGGUCUUUAAGUCAGGGGUGAAAUCCUGGAGCUCAACUCCAGAACUGCCUUUGAUACUGAAGAUCUUGAGUUCGGGAGAGGUGAGUGGAACUGCGAGUGUAGAGGUGAAAUUCGUAGAUAUUCGCAAGAACACCAGUGGCGAAGGCGGCUCACUGGCCCGAUAACUGACGCUGAGGCACGGAAAGCGUGGGGAGCAAACAGGA